GGGGGUGUAAAGGUUUCGACUGGGGUGUAGAAGCGGGAUAAGCGAGCGGUAGUUCGCCAGUCUACCUAAAAAAGGCGCGUUAAAUAUAAACGCUAAAAAGAAUAAUAAUUUCGCACCUAUGGCUCUGGCUGCUUAGUCAGAAGCUGUGCGUGCCUGCUCCGGCUCACCUGUAGGCCGGAUGUCCGGCAUCGACUAUACAGGAAAACUCUGUGCGAGUGCCCGGUAACACAGGGGAAUAACGGGAUAGCUGAGGCAAGAGCCUGUUAAUGGGCGCUGGCCGAGGCGAAAUAUCAAAACAUUAACUGCGCUCGGAGAAAAUUCCGUGGAAAUGCUUUAGGACGCGAGUUCGACUCUCGCCACUUCCACCA
rnacentral:tmRNA from 1 species